CAGUCGCCGCGGUAAUACGAAGGGUGCAAGCGUUAAUCGGAAUUACUGGGCGUAAAGCGUGCGUAGGCGGUUUGUUAAGUCUGUUGUGAAAUCCCCGGGCUCAACCUGGGAAUGGCAAUGGAUACUGGCAAGCUAGAGUGUGUCAGAGGAUGGUGGAAUUCCCGGUGUAGCGGUGAAAUGCGUAGAGAUCGGGAGGAACAUCAGUGGCGAAGGCGGCCAUCUGGGACAACACUGACGCUGAGGCACGAAAGCGUGGGGAGCAAACAGGAUUAGAGACCCCUGUAGUCCCUGUCUCUUAUAA
rnacentral:rRNA from 1 species